rnacentral:siRNA from 1 species
UAGAGUUGCCCUAGACAUCUU